rnacentral:lncRNA from 1 species
AUGAAACAGAUCAGCACUCCUGAAAUGAUGUGGAAAAUGGGAAAUUUUAAAAGCUUACAUGCCACAACGUAUCCACACGAACUUUUCAAGAGCUGGAAAUGUUUGUGAUGGUGAUAUGGGAAUGGUCCAUGGUAUGGUAUUUAUAGCUGAAGAAAAGUUUGCUUCAGAAGCAAAGGAUACCUCAUCCUCCCUAAAACAGAGCCCCUUUUUGCUUUUUUUUUUCAGUUCAUGUUCGUGAGUUCAUCACUCUAAGAAGCAAAGAUGAUUAUCCAAAAGAAGAUAUGGACAGCCACAUUUGUUGUUACCUGCCAUCAUAUCUGGACUAGCUAGGUGCUUUAUAUACUCAGUUUCCAGUUCUCCAGCAAAAGCUUUGGUGUUUCUUACACUCUGCUGAUUUCUAUCUAAGGCGGCACGGCUUGUGCCAUGGACUGGAUGAAGCCGAUGUGUAUCUGGAUAAAAAGAUUGUCAACAUGACUCAUCUCUUCUGUAGUGUGUCAAUCCUAAUGCAUUGUGUGUUCUGUGAGUCAUGGGCAAACUUUUGAUCUAAAUCUUAAUCUACUUUACUCGGAUGUGUAUCCAUGACAUGACUGGAUUUCUUGUAGGAGUGCCUGAUAUUGCAGCUAUGUGGUGUAUUCUUCUUGGUUGUGUAUAUCUAACUGUUGAUAUAAAGGUCAGAUUUUUAUCCAUUAUCUAAAAAAAUGUGGUGUAUUUUACUUGUCCUCUACUUGCUCUUCAUCUGCUUGUGUGUAUGCUCUAUCCAGCUAUUGGAAUUUCAGAAUCUGUCACGCGAUGAACACGGCCUGUUUGGAACAUCCUGCUCGAUCUGCGUGCGAAUCUAUCUGUGAUUUUUACGUUUUAGUACAUACUAAUACUGAGUUACUGACUGAUCAAACUAACAUAUUAAAGGGGCAGUAACACCUGCUAGUCAGAAAAUAAUACUCUAUCCGUUUUAUAUUAUAUAAAUUGUUUUGACUUUUUCCUUAGUCAACUUUUUUAAGUUUAACCAAGUUUAUAUUAAAAAUCUAGAACAUCAAAUUAGUUUUAUUAAAAUGAACAUUUAAUAUAUUUUAAUAAUAUGUUGUUUUAUGUUAGCAAUGUUGCUAUAUUUUUCUACAAACUUGAUCAAACUUUAAAAAAUUGACUAGGACAAAAGUCAAAACGAUUUAUAGUAUAAAAUGGAGGGAGUAUUUACAGUAUGCUGCUUGAUAAUUACUGUAUUCCUUUUGAAGUAAGAAGAUUUAGGUAGGUGCUAAAAUUGAUAAUAGAAGAACUUGCAUUGAACCCAUAAUUCCAAAAUGGAUGAACUAAAAUACUUUUCUUCAAUAAAAAAGGAGAUCCGCUGGACGAAAUCAAGAAAACAAAGAAUCUAAUGUGAAAAUUACACCAUAACAUGGUCAAAAGAAAAAAAAAAGGAAAUUACACCCAUAGCUACUUACCAGCAUACUUCUUUUUUCCCACAGAAACCAGGGACUGGUUUCCCAUCAACCUUCCAAGGUUGACAUUGCUACAGAGGUUACAACUAGGACAUCUUUUGAGUUUUUCCACCCUUCCACUUAUAGAUCUUCCACUUACACCAUAAGUUGACUACCCCUCGAUGGCUCGAAGGGUAUAAUGUAUAUAUAGUCGUGCAAUGUCGGUGGCAUCUUUGUGUCCGACACCAUGACCUGAUAUUUUUCGCAGAGCUUGUCGCUUGUUGGGUCGACGUGUCGUUUAAGUCAUGGUAUUUGUCACGCAAUGCAUAUCCUUUUAUGCUCUUGCUCUUUUUCGGCUACAAGGAUUGUGUUUUCAAAUUAAUUAAUGCAAAAAUCUAGAUAUAAUAUAAAUUUUUUUGCAAGGGAAAUUACUAAAUAAACAAAACAGCACAUUCUUAAAAUCGUUUUAUCCCACUGAAGAGUUGUAUUUAGAUUUAGAAGACUUCUUUCUUGAGUGAAUAGUGGAGAUACUCCUUUGCUAUAGAUUAUAAUUAUAGGGGAAUAAUUACAAUAGAGGGCAUGGGGAGUAGAGAAAACAAAAAAAAACUGUUAAACUGUAAAUGGAUUCUCGAUUGAGGAAUUUAAGAUACACAAUUGUCUCCAAUAUAAAAAUAAACCAUAAUAUUUGGGCUGUGAAUUUAUUGUAUAAUAGAAAAAUCAAGGACACAUGGCUAAUGGUUGCUAAGAAAAAAAAUUGCAAAUAUUCUAUAGGUUCUCAGAGAGAAAAGGGAAAUCAUUCAAUUUGAUUGACUCCAAUUACAAAGAAUUUCUUUUAGUGUCUUAGAAACAUAUUUAAUGAUAUGCAGUUUGGAAAAAAAAUAGAAAAUAAAUACCGGGCACUAUGUUUAAUUAAAAGGUAAAAAAAAAUUUACUACUUGGGGUGUGGAUUUACAUUGUAUUCCUGCACAUAAGAAGUUUCAAAUUCAACAGAUACAAUUUUAAUAUUGAACUCUGUCCACUAUACAGCAAUGCAGUACACCGUGCAUCUGAUAAAAACAGUGAUAUGCUUUAUUAUUCAUGGUUCUCUUUCUUCUGGGGAGAACUGGAAGAUCCACCUUUUGGCAAAACAAUUCACAGCUUUCAUAAUACAAUUGGCUGCUACAGAGCAAUGGCAACUGAGCGUAAGUGCGUAACACUUUAACAAAAUUAAUAAAGCUCAAAACAAUUAAUAUUCUGCAGGCAUAUUGCACAGGCCAGUAUUGGCUUCAGAAUACACAGAAAUUGUAACAAAGCAAACUGCUUUUGUUCUUACCCAAGAAUAACCAUUAUAUUCUGUAAAAUAAUAUGGGUAAUUUGGCCAUUUCUUUGCAAAGGCAAACAUGCAAUUUCGCACAGUUCAGAUCCUUGUCCACAAUUUGUUUUGAUCAUUGCAAUCCCUUCUUGCAGAACCAUCAACUUAUGCUUAUUUACAACCAUACAGGCAUCGAUGACAGCAUCACUCUUUUGUCGCUCAUGUAGCUUUUUUCACUUGCACAAACACAGUGCCAUACUCCCAUUGUACAAAUGAUGUG